rnacentral:rRNA from 1 species
ACCGAGUGAGGGCCCUUUGGGUCCAACCUCCCACCCGUGUUUAUUUACCUCGUUGCUUCGGCGGGCCCGCCUUAACUGGCCGCCGGGGGGCUCACGCCCCCGGGCCCGCGCCCGCCGAAGACACCCCCGAACUCUGCCUGAAGAUUGUCGUCUGAGUGAAAAUAUAAAUUAUUUAAAACUUUCAACAACGGAUCUCUUGGUUCCGGCAUCGAUGAAGAACGCAGCGAAAUGCGAUACGUAAUGUGAAUUGCAAAUUCAGUGAAUCAUCGAGUCUUUGAACGCACAUUGCGCCCCCUGGUAUUCCGGGGGGCAUGCCUGUCCGAGCGUCAUUGCUGCCCUCAAGCCCGGCUUGUGUGUUGGGCCCCGUCCUCCGAUUCCGGGGGACGGGCCCGAAAGGCAGCGGCGGCACCGCGUCCGGUCCUCGAGCGUAUGGGGCUUUGUCACCCGCUCUGUAGGCCCGGCCGGCGCUUGCCGAUCAACCCAAAUUUUUAUCCAGGUUGACCUCGGAUCAGGUAGGGAUACCCGCUGAACUUAAGCAUAUCAA